rnacentral:lncRNA from 10 species
AGAAAGGAGGUGGGGGAGGGGCCAGGGAAAUAAAGUCCAAGAGGUCAGCAGGCACCAGAAGCCAUAGCCUUAGUUGGGGCAUCAGGAGAGCAGCAAGCUGCAUCUACCUUGGAAAGAUGGAGAGAAGACUGCAGUGAGCGGAGUGGGGAGGAAGGGGGAAGUGGCAGGGCAGAGGAAGCAGGGUACAGACAGGAGAAAAGAGAUGGUGCCCUGGGCCAGGUGGCUGCCACCGCUACCAUCGCCAGAAGUGGAAAACUCUUUGCCUUCUCCUUACCACUGUCACUAUGACACCCCAAUUCUUUCUGCUCCCCCUUCUUUAGUAAUAGGUGCUGGCAAGUAAGGAGCAGUCUGAUUUGAGUUUGCGAAGGAAACCCUUGGAGGUAGCUGUGAACCCAUGAGGCUUGCCAAGUAGGGAGCUCAGGAUCCCCAAGAUUGGAUGAGGAAAUAAGCUUACCCCAGUUCAACAUCGAUCUACUUGCUACUUCUAUGGGGUCAACUUUUUCAGAUCAACACUUCCAGGACAUCAUGUGGAAUUGGUCUCUCUGAGAUGGUGGAGAUGCUGAGUAGCGGGAUUUCCUCAUUCCACGGUGCACACAUCUAUCGAAUCC